CCCAGUCUUCCUGUUUGAGAUUCUGUCAGUUGGCUGUUUUCCUCCCAUUCCCUAGAGCUCUGUUCACUGGCUUUCGUCUCCUUUCCUCAACACAGUUUAGUCACCACCUCCGAGGAACUGUGUCCCGCGUUGGCAUUCCUUUGGCAGCUUCCACUUCUCUGUCCCCUUGAGCAAAGGUUUUUCUCAGGGGAAGCCGAGCUCCAGACUAUUCAUUUGUCCUGCGGCAGCCACCUGAAACACAAUCAUUUUGUAUUUCUGCGAUGUUUUGACCUUUUAUCCAAGUCAGCCCUAUAGAAUGGGCCAGGAGGUUGCUGCCACUGAAUAAGCCACUGUGAUUUUUAGCGUCAAGAAUUUUGCUGUUAACUAUGGCAGAAAAAUAGACAGA
rnacentral:lncRNA from 1 species